UGAGGAAGAGUAAAAAUGUUUCAUAUUCACAUUUCCCUAGCAUUUUAGUGAAAUUUACAUAGCAUUUAUACUAUAUUAGGUAUUGUAAGUAAUCUAUAGAUGAUUCCUAGUAUGAGAGAAGAUGUCCACAGAUUAUAUGCAAAAACGAUGACAUUUUAUGUAAGUGACAAGCAUUAAUCAGUUUACAUAAUGAUCAUUUAAAGAUGGUGAGGACUAGAAAUAUUAUAUACUACAUAAAUAAAAGACAUUUAAGAAAAAUGUCUUU
rnacentral:lncRNA from 1 species